AUGAUCAUUUGUGAGGAGUAUGUUUUCAACUCUAUGUAUGUCAAUUCGAGAGUAGAGCGAUCUAUGUCAACCAAGAGCAGAACUCUCUCUAUUUCCGGCACAGGCUUUCUUUCAAUCAAGAAGAAGAUUAUUUCAGAUUUUAUCACUAUCCGGACUGCUAUCUACUAUCUACCUAUCUAGCUACCCGGGCUCGUUGUGAGGCGGGACCCAACCCUCCUCUUCACUCCACUGCUUCAACAGAAAUGGAUCCAUCAUCUGCUACCCAUGAGUAAUAACGUUACUAAAUUGCCCGUACGUUGCUACGGAAAAUAA
rnacentral:rRNA from 1 species